rnacentral:rRNA from 1 species
AAUAGAUACCCGGGUAGUCCACGCCGUAAACGAUGAGUGCUAAGUGUUGGGGGGUUUCCGCCCCUCAGUGCUGCAGCUAACGCAUUAAGCACUCCGCCUGGGGAGUACGGUCGCAAGACUGAAACUCAAAGGAAUUGACGGGGGCCCGCACAAGCGGUGGAGCAUGUGGUUUAAUUCGAAGCAACGCGAAGAACCUUACCAGGUCUUGACAUCCCGGUGACCACUAUGGAGACAUAGUUUCCCCUUCGGGGGCAACGGUGACAGGUGGUGCAUGGUUGUCGUCAGCUCGUGUCGUGAGAUGUUGGGUUAAGUCCCGCAACGAGCGCAACCCUUAUUCUUAGUUGCCAUCAUUCAGUUGGGCACUCUAAGGAGACUGCCGGUGAUAAACCGGAGGAAGGUGGGGAUGACGUCAAAUCAUCAUGCCCCUUAUGACCUGGGCUACACACGCGCUACAAUGGACGGUACAAACGGUUGCCAACCCGCGAGGGGAGCUAAUCCGAUAAAACCGUUCUCAGUUCGGAUUGUAGGCUGCAACUCGCCUACAUGAAC